rnacentral:tRNA from 1 species
GGAAGCGCUUGGUAGGCUGGCGCCGCCCCCGGUCUUCAAAACCGGUGUGGGGCACCCACGGUGUCCUGGGCAGGUUCGAUUCCUGUGCGCUUCCGCCA